rnacentral:snRNA from 1 species
AUACUGUCAUAAUCUGGUAUAAAU